rnacentral:rRNA from 1 species
CCUACGGGCGGCAGCAGUGAGGAAUAUUUGUCAAUGGACGAGAGUCUGAACCAGCCAAGUAGCGUGAAGGAUGACUGCCCUAUGGGUUGUAAACUUCUUUUAUAUGGGAAUAAAAUGUUCCACGUGUGGGAUUUUGUAUGUACCAUAUGAAUAAGGAUCGGCUAACUCCGUGCCAGCAGCCGCGGUAAUACGGAGGAUCCGAGCGUUAUCCGGAUUUAUUGGGUUUAAAGGGAGCGUAGGUGGAUUGUUAAGUCAGUUGUGAAAGUUUGCGGCUCAACCGUAAAAUUGCAGUUGAAACUGGCAGUCUUGAGUACAGUAGAGGUGGGCGGAAUUCGUGGUGUAGCGGUGAAAUGCUUAGAUAUCACGAAGAACUCCGAUUGCGAAGGCAGUUCACUGGACUGCAACUGACACUGAGGCUCGAAAGUGUGGGUAUCAAACAGGAUUAGAUACCCCAGUAGUC